rnacentral:rRNA from 1 species
UACGGAGGGUGCGAGCGUUGUCCGGAAUCACUGGGCGUAAAGAGCUCGUAGGCGGCUUGGCAAGUCGGGUGUGAAAACUCCAGGCUCAACCUGGAGAUGCCACUCGAGACUGCUAUGGCUAGAGUCCGGUAGGGGACCACGGAAUUCCUGGUGUAGCGGUGAAAUGCGCAGAUAUCAGGAGGAACACCGGUGGCGAAGGCGGUGGUCUGGGCCGGCACUGACGCUGAGGAGCGAUAGCGUGGGGAGCAAACGGG